rnacentral:hammerhead_ribozyme from 1 species
AUCCAGCUGAUGGACGAGUCCCAAAUAGGACGAAAUGCGUAUUACCCUGGAU